UCUCCCAGCCUCGGCCCCAGAGGGCCCCCCCCCACCCCGGGGUCCAGCUGUCAGGGGCAGGCCGACAGCCUGGCACGGGGCUGAGGAGAAGGCUACUUAGUCAGAAAGGCCUGGAUUCAAAUCCUGCUUCCCACAUCCUGCGACCCCAGCUCAGGGCCUCAAUAUCCCCCUCAGUAAAAUGGACACGGUAGUAGCACCUCCUCGUCUUGCAAGGUCAUUGUAUAAAUGAAAGGAGAUAAUGUCCAGAUCUCACUCCCCAGUGUGAACAUUUGUACAAGAACAUGGGAGAGCACAGCAGUCAUGAAGAAUCUGG
rnacentral:lncRNA from 1 species